GCAAGAUUGGGAUCAACCCAGACAACGUGGCCACACCCAUUGCUGCCAGCCUGGGCGACCUCAUCACCUUGGCGCUGCUCUCAGGCAUCAGCUGGGGACUCUACCUGGAACUGAAUCACUGGCGAUACAUCUACCCACUGGUGUGUGCUUUCUUUGUGGCCCUGCUGCCUGUCUGGGUGGUGCUGGCCCGACGAAGUCCAGCCACAAGGGAGGUGUUGUACUCGGGCUGGGAGCCUGUUAUCAUUGCCAUGGCCAUCAGCAGGU
rnacentral:lncRNA from 1 species